rnacentral:rRNA from 1 species
UACGGAGGGUGCGAGCGUUGUCCGGAAUCACUGGGCGUAAAGGGCGCGUAGGCGGCCUGGUAAGUAGGGGGUGAAAUCCUGCGGCUUAACCGCAGGGCUGCCUUCUAAACUGUCAGGCUCGAGCACAGUAGAGGCAGGUGGAAUUCCCGGUGUAGCGGUGAAAUGCGUAGAGAUCGGGAGGAACAUCAGUGGCGAAGGCGGCCCUCUGGACCAGCACUGACGCUGAGGCACGAAAGCGUGGGGAGCAAACAGG